rnacentral:lncRNA from 1 species
CUGAAGAGGAGCAAAUCAUAUUUCAUUCAUGUGUGUCAAAAUGUGUAACAAUAAUGCACUAACAAAAACAUUUUGUAAAGUGUGAAAACAUAUAUAUGAUUUAUAAAAUAGAAAUACAAUGUAAGAUGAACUAAAGAAAACAUUUGUUCUCUUUACUGAGCUUUAUUUCAUGGUAUUAAAAUAUUCAAAAUACAGUGGAAAUGAAGUAAUACUCUUAAACAACCAAUAUGUCAAAAGGAGAACCAAGAAAACAAAAAAUUUGAGAAUAACAAAAGGGGAAACACAAAGAAACUAAAACUAAAAGAAUACAGUGGAAACAAGCUCAGAGGGGAAUUUAUAGCUGUGGCUGCCCACAGUGAAAAAGAACCAUUAUCUAAAGUCAGCUGUCUUACUUUAUACCUUCUCUACUAGGAAAAAAAAUGGAAUAAACUAACCCCAACCCUAGCAGAAGUCAGGAAAUUAAUGAAUAUCAGAGUGAAGACAAAUCAAAUUUAGUAAUCAAAAAAAUAGAAAAACAAAACCAAAAGCUGAUCCUUUGAAUAAAAAAAGUGGAAAAUCUUUAUAAGCAGAGUAUAUAUGAAACGUAAAAAAAAAGUCAACAAAACUUUGAAAACAAGAAGCUUUGAGUAACUUCACAAAAAGUAAUUUGAGGAAAAAAAAUACAAGAGUCCCAAGAACCAAUAGAUGAAGCAGAUAAUUUAUGCUGUGUUUUCCCAUACUUAUAAUAUAUCAAAGAAAUAUAUCAUUUCUAAUAUUUUAUUGAAGAUUCUGAUAGAUCAUAUUUUUUAAUUCCAAAAUGUCAAAAGACAGAUAAAGAAAGGGAGGAAAAUGGAGAAUGCUAAGCUAUUUAAAUGUUUCACUUGCCACAAAACAAUAGAGACAAAGGUUUAUUUUAAGUUUUUACUCACUACAAGUACUUUCCUGUGUGGCUUGGUGAAAAAAGAAAAAUUGUUAGUAUGUAUUUACAUCCAUUCUUAUUUUGCUUUGGUUUUUGUUUUUGUUUGGCUAUUUUUGUUUGUUUGUUUUCUGUUUUUGUUUUUGUUUUGAUACUAGGUAUUGAACCCAGGGGUUUUUGGCCACUGAGCCAUGUCUGAAGCCCAUUUUUUAUUUUUUGUUUUGAGACAGAGUCCCAAGUUGUUUAGGGCCUGAGUUGCUGGGGCUGACUUUGAAUUUGUGAUCCUUCCUGCCUCAGCCUCCUGAGCUACUGGAAUUACAGGCAUGUGUCCCUGUACCCAGCUAUCAUUGUUAAUUUUAACUGGGGCUAAUCAAAAUAUUAUCUCAGAGAGGUUACAAAGAUUUGGGUAGAAAAAUGUAUUAUUCAGAUUUCAGAAAUAGGAAUAUUAAUUAUUCAUUCAUUCAUUCAAGUAGUACCUACAACAUACACUGGAGUCUACUGGGGAUAGGGGAGGUGAGAAGAAAAAGAAGAAAACUUAUCCCUACUCUCAGGAAGUUAUAUUCAAGUCUGGAGGCAAAAAGAUAUACAAAGGAAUUCGUUAUUGCUAAAAAAUUGAAUAUACAAAAGUAUCUCUAUGGAAACUAGCCUACUAAAGUAAAAAUCUAAAAAUCUGAUGUCUGUAAAACCCUUGCCUCUGUACAUAUAUACAACUUUAAAGUGAUCCUUCAUGAUUUAAUACAUAGACAUGGAAAAUCACUAAAUCUAUGAUUUAAAAAAAAAUCUAGAAUUCAAAUCAGAAAAUUUUAGAAUUAAUUUUAUUGUAAAGGACUAAGACUUUAUUGCCACCUUGUGGCUAUGUUGAUUAUUGCAUAAAAUUGAUUUUUACAGUCAUACAGUGAAAACUCUAAAAACUCUUUGUGUUAUUUUUAUACUUCGUUUAAUUUAUAUAUGAAAAAAUACACAUGAACCCUGGUCUCAAAAACAUGCAGACUUGCAGGGUAAACCAACAUUAAACUAAAAAUAGCACAGAUAGCUACAUCAUUACAAUUUUGCUUAGGACUGCGAAGAAGCAUGGUGUGCCUUAAGAACUGAACAGAGGGACAAUCUAGGCUGGGGAAGCGGGAGAGUCAGGGGAGCCUUCUGGAGAAGUAAAUACUGAAGCAGAGAUGUGUAGGGUAAACUGGAGUUAGCUAAGCAAAGUGUAUGGGUCGGGGAGAGAAUUUUCCAGGCAAAAGAAAAAACAUGUACAAAGAUGAAACAGCACGUUCUAGAAUCUUCAUGUUGCUUGAACAUGGGAAUGAGAGUCUCGCUUUGUGGGGAAGGCAGAUAAUGAUCAUACCUUUAUUUUAAAAGCCCUGAAAGUAUUUAAGCAAAAGAACGACAUGAUCAGACUCAGUUUCUGAAAGCAUGGAGUGGGGAAAAGGAAUUGGAAUGGUAGAAGAUUCAGAAUGGGAGUGAGGAGCUAGCUUAGGUAGCUCUACAUAAGAUAGUCUCUCUUAGAUAAUAAUCCAAAAGUACAUAUACACGCUUAUUUUCAAGAACUAAAGCAUAACAUAAAGUACAAAGAAAGCAAUGUGAACAUCAUCCCAAAUUUCAUAACUGGAAAUAGUCAUCUUCAAUAAGAUAACAUAUAAGAUCUCUAAAUACUCUAACUUGACUUUACUUAAAUUACUUUUAAAAUUUUAUUUUCUACUAGGGAAAAAAAUCACCUGAGAAAAAUUAUAUCAACCACUGAAAAACAAUGUAAAUAUUAUUUAUUUAAGAAUCUAAGCCGUACUCGCCUGUAAUCCUAGCAGC